UACAGAGGGCCCAAGCGUUGCGCGGAUUCAUUGGGCUUAAAGGGUGCGUAGGCGGAAGUGCAAGUGUCUUGUGAAAGCCCCCGGCUCAACCGGGGAAUUGCAGGGCAAACUGCUCUUCUUGAGGUCGGUAGGCGCCGCCGGAACUGUAGGUGUAGCGGUGAAAUGCGUAGAUAUCUACAGGAACGCCGAUGGUGAAGACGGGCGGCUGGGCCGAUUCUGACGCUGAGGCACGAAAGCGUGGGGAGCAAACAGG
rnacentral:misc_RNA from 1 species